CCUAUUUCCCAUUCUGAAAAAAGUAAA
rnacentral:misc_RNA from 1 species